GACGAACGCUGGCGGCGUGCUUAACACAUGCAAGUCGAGCGGAGCGGCGAACGGGUGAGUAACGCGUGAGUAACUGCCCCCCUCUCUGGGAUAACAGUUGGAAACGGCUGCUAAUACCGGAUAGUGGGGGAUGACUCGCGUCCUAUCAGCUUGUUGGUGGGGUAGUGGCCUACCAAGGCGACGACGGGUAGCGGGCCGGAGAGGGCGACCGGCCAAAGUGUGUGGGGGUAAGUGCCAAACUCCUACGGGGGGCAUCCGUGGGGAAGAUUGCACAAUGGGGGAAACCCUGAUGCAGCAACGCGAGUGCGGGAUGACGGCCUUCGGGUUGUAACCCGCUUUCAGCCAUGACGCGGUAGUGGCAGAAGAAGCACCGGCUAACUACGUGCCAGCAGCCGCGGUAAUAC
rnacentral:rRNA from 1 species